UACGAAGGGUGCAAGCGUUAAUCGGAAUUACUGGGCGUAAAGGGUGCGUAGGCGGUGAUGUAAGACCGAUGUGAAAUCCCCGGGCUUAACCUGGGAACUGCAUUGGUGACUGCAUUGCUGGAGUAUGGCAGAGGGGGGUGGAAUUCCACGUGUAGCAGUGAAAUGCGUAGAGAUGUGGAGGAACACCGAUGGCGAAGGCAGCCCCCUGGGCCAAUACUGACGCUCAUGCACGAAAGCGUGGGGAGCAAACAGG
rnacentral:rRNA from 1 species